GCCUCUGUAGGCUAACGGAUAGACCGCAGGAUUCCGGAUCCUGAUGUGUGGGUUCGAUUCCCGCCAGAGGCGCAA
rnacentral:tRNA from 1 species